GGAUUUGUCACACAAUGAAUUGGAAGGACCUUUGCUGGAAUUUCUAGUAGAAUUGCCAAAGUUGAAAAUUCUUAAUGUAACAGGGAACAGGCUUUUGGGUCCAAUUCCUAAGGCUCUCAAGGAAAAGGCAGAUUGGCAAUUAAGACUCAUGCAAAAAGAACUUUGUUACACCACUGGUUGCAUCACUUUCAUCAGCACAAGGUUAUAAGGAAUUCCGAUCAGAGGCACAACUUCUAGUGAUUGUUCAUCAUAGAAAUUUAGUAUCUCUCAUUGGAUACUGUGGUGAAGGUGAAAGUAAAGCAUUGAUUUAUGAAUACAUGGCCAAUGGAAAUCUCCACCAGCACU